UACGAAGGGGCUAGCGUUGCUCGGAAUUACUGGGCGUAAAGGGCGCGUAGGCGGACAGUUUAGUCAGAGGUGAAAGCCCAGGGCUCAACCUUGGAAUUGCCUUUGAUACUGGCUGUCUUGAGUUCGGGAGAGGUGAGUGGAAUGCCGAGUGUAGAGGUGAAAUUCGUAGAUAUUCGGCGGAACACCAGUGGCGAAGGCGACUCACUGGCCCGAUACUGACGCUGAGGCGCGAAAGCGUGGGGAGCAAACAGG
rnacentral:rRNA from 1 species